rnacentral:rRNA from 1 species
UACGUAGGGUCCGAGCGUUGUCCGGAAUUACUGGGCGUAAAGAGCUCGUAGGUGGUUUGUCGCGUUGUUCGUGAAAACUCACAACUCAAUUGUGGGCGUGCGGGCGAUACGGGCAGACUGGAGUACUGCAGGGGAGACUGGAAUUCCUGGUGUAGCGGUGGAAUGCGCAGAUAUCAGGAGGAACACCGGUGGCGAAGGCGGGUCUCUGGGCAGUAACUGACGCUGGAGGAGCGAAAGCGUGGGGAGCGAACAGG